CCGCCACUCAGCGCCCGGCGCCUCCUCCCGCCCCGCACCCGCUCCGCCAGGCCCUCCGCUGACAGAACGGGGGGCUCCGCGAGGAUGGAGCCAGGGCCGGUAGAGGGGCACCCCCUUUCCUCAUCGCGUCCGGGGUGCGGGGGGGAGGUCACACCCCCACCCCUCUCCUCGGAAUGAUUUCCCGUGCUUCACCCCGCUCUAAGGCGGAGCCAGGCGGGGGAAGAUCCGACAUGAAUGAGGCCAAGGCCCUGCCCGGUGAAAUUCAUUCAUUCGACACGUAUUCGUUGGGCGCUGGGACAUGGCGAAUCUGAGCUCCAGGAGGGCCUAGGGAUUCUUGUCUUAUCUGUAGUUGUAUCUCCGGGGCCUAGAAGACAACUUGAUGUGCAGUAGCUACUCAGCAUCCCUCUGUGUGUGAAAGAAGAACUGAGGAAGGAAUGACAGUGGUGUAGAAGGUAGAGAGAACGUGGAAGCAAAGAAGAUUUCUUCUCCUAUUGUAAAAGCUCAUCUGGGAGAGUGACCUCAGAAACUUGCUCAGUAGUCCUUCCCCUAAGGGGGACAGAAUUACAUACAUGUGGUAGGCGGGGACUGGAUUAAAUCUUCCAGGGCUUCAGUGACCACCCCUGCCAGACCAACAGCUACUACCUAGAUUUCUCUUUCCAUGUCUUAGUCUCUGUAUCCAGUGAUUUGGGGGGAGGGGGGAUUGUCUCCAUUUGGGUGCCGCAUAAACACCUCAAACUCAUCAGGCGCGAAACGUAAACAUCACCUCCCAUUAAAGUACCCUUCUCUGCCUGGUCCCUCCCAUACCCAAUGGGUCCAGCCAGAAAUCUGAAACAUCCUUAGCGCCCCCCACUCUUCCCAGAGACAGCCCCCCCCCCCAUAUCCAAUCAACUAUAAGUAGUCCAUUGGGUUUUACUCUCUAAAUAGCCCUCAGGGCUGAACUUUUCUCCAUCCCCACCACAACCAUUCUAAUCCAGCCACCACUACCUCACAAAGCCCAACCACCACGCAGCCACCUCAGGGGUCUCCCCGUAGCCUUGCCUGGCCCCCUCAAAUUCUGUGUUCUUAGUGCAGCCAGAAUGCGCUUUUCCCAACACAAACCUAACCCUGUCUCUCCCUCUGGUUAAGCUUCUCCUUGCCCUCAGGAAAAUGUCUUGACUCUCUAUAAGGCUUACAAGACCCAGUAUGACCUGACAGGAGCCACCUUCUCUCCUGCCUCAUCUCCUGAUUCCUCUAACAAGUCAAACUCUCGGCCUCCAGGCCUUUGCAGAGGCUGUUUCCCUCUGCCUGACCUGCUCUCCCAGCCCCUUCCCCCAGCCUAGCUAACUCCUAGACCUGCGCUGUCCAACAGGGUAGCCACUCAACACACAUGGCUAUUGAGCACUUGAAUUGUGGGGAGUCUGAAUUGAGAUGUGCUGUAAGUAUAAAAUAUCCUCUAGAUUUCAAAGAUUAGUAAGAAAGAAAAUAAUGUAAACCAUCUAUCAAUAUUGAACUGAUAAUAUUUGAA